rnacentral:rRNA from 1 species
CCUACGGGCGGCAGCAGUAGGGAAUCUUCCACAAUGGGCGAAAGCCUGAUGGAGCAACGCCGCGUGGGUGAAGAAGGUCUUCGGAUCGUAAAACCCUGUUGUUAGAGAAGAAAGUGCGUGAGAGUAACUGUUCACGUUUCGACGGUAUCUAACCAGAAAGCCACGGCUAAAUACGUGCCAGCAGCCGCGGUAAUACGUAGGUGGCAAGCGUUAUCCGGAUUUAUUGGGCGUAAAGGGAACGCAGGCGGUCUUUUAAGUCUUAUGGGAAAGCCUUCGGCUUAACCGGAGUAGUGCAUUGGAAACUGGGAGACUUGAGUGCAGAAGAGGAGAGUGGAACUCCAUGUGUAGCGGUGAAAUGCGUAGAUAUAUGGAAGAACACCAGUGGCGAAAGCGGCUCUCUGGUCUGUAACUGACGCUGAGGUUCGAAAGCGUGGGUAGCAAACAGGAUUAGAUACCCCAGUAGUC